UCCGAGUUAGUAUAUCGGCUAGUAUAUCCGCCUUUCACUUCGUCAUGAAGGGCGCGGAGGAGACGGGUUCGAUUCCCGUACUCGGAA
rfam:Puccinia graminis f. sp. tritici CRL 75-36-700-3 supercont2.20 genomic scaffold, whole genome shotgun sequence.